GAGUACAGCCACACCACUCUGAACACGCCCGCUCUUCUCUGAUCUCAGAAGCUAAGCAGGGUCGGGCCUGGUUAGUACUUGGAUGGGAGGAAUAGAUCUUGAGUUUU
rnacentral:rRNA from 1 species